rnacentral:ncRNA from 1 species
UAAAUAUUUAUGAAGCAAAAGAGUAAUUAUGAUGAGUACACCCUACAGAGAACUGGGUAAGGUGAGAGCCAGGUGGUAGAAAGCAUAAUGAAAAGAGUUGCUGAAAUGGAUAGGACAAAGCUUAUAGGUCAGUAUCUUAUCCCGCAUUCAAAGCGUUAUUUGAAUUGAGUUGUGUUUUACCAUUAAAACACAAUUAGAGUGGUACCGCGGGCAUAUACUCGUCUCUAUU